rnacentral:rRNA from 1 species
CGACCUACGGGGGGCAGCAGUGGGGGAUAUUGCACAAUGGGGGGAACCCUGAUGCAGCGACGCCGCGUGAAGGAAGAAGGCUUUCGGGUUGUAAACUUCUUUUCUCAGGGAUGAAGCAAGUGACGGUACCUGAGGAAUAAGCCACGGCUAACUACGUGCUAGCAGCCGCGGUAAUACGUAGGUGGCAAGCGUUAUCCGGAUUUACUGGGUGUAAAGGGGGCGCAGACGGCAGCGCAAGCCAGGAGUGAAAGCCCGGGGCCCAACCCCGGGACUGCUCUUGGAACUGCGCGGCUGGAGUGCAGGAG